rnacentral:rRNA from 1 species
AUGGCUCCUACUGAGACUGAGGAUGAUGUAGAGGAGGGAGAAGAGAAGAAGAAGAGGGAAAGGAAAGCAGCCGGAGCUGCUUUCACGUGGAUUCAAAAUAACUUUGCGACGUGCCCUCCGGAUGCCACUGAUGAUGUGAUCCAGACACAUGCUCGUGUGUAUAUGUGGUACGUUGUGUCGAGGACUUUGUUUCCUGACUCCACUGGCAAGAACGCUCCAUGGAUGUGGCUGAAGGCGUUGAUCGUCUUCGAUAGCAAAUGGAGCUGGGGUUCAGCGACUCUUGCCUACUUGUACCGAUAG